rnacentral:rRNA from 2 species
UGGGAUAACUUCGGGAAACCGGAGCUAAUACCGGAUACGUUCUUUUCUCGCAUGAGAGAAGAUGGAAAGACGGUUUACGCUGUCACUUAUAGAUGGGCCCGCGGCGCAUUAGCUAGUUGGUGAGGUAAUGGCUCACCAAGGCGACGAUGCGUAGCCGACCUGAGAGGGUGAUCGGCCACACUGGGACUGAGACACGGCCCAGACUCCUACGGGAGGCAGCAGUAGGGAAUCUUCCGCAAUGGACGAAAGUCUGACGGAGCAACGCCGCGUGAACGAAGAAGGCCUUCGGGUCGUAAAGUUCUGUUGUUAGGGAAGAACAAGUACCAGAGUAACUGCUGGUACCUUGACGGUACCUAACCAGAAAGCCACGGCUAACUACGUGCCAGCAGCCGCGGUAAUACGUAGGUGGCAAGCGUUGUCCGGAAUUAUUGGGCGUAAAGCGCGCGCAGGUGGUUCCUUAAGUCUGAUGUGAAAGCCCACGGCUCAACCGUGGAGGGUCA